AUUGAACGCUGGCGGCAGGCCUAACACAUGCAAGUCGAACGGUAACAGGAAGCAGCUUGCUGCUUUGCUGACGAGUGGCGGACGGGUGAGUAAUGUCUGGGAAACUGCCCGAUGGAGGGGGAUAACUACUGGAAACGGUAGCUAAUACCGCAUAACGUCGCAAGACCAAAGAGGGGGACCUUAGGGCCUCUUGCCAUCGGAUGUGCCCAGAUGGGAUUAGCUAGUAGGUGGGGUAACGGCUCACCUAGGCGACGAUCCCUAGCUGGUCUGAGAGGAUGACCAGCCACACUGGAACUGAGACACGGUCCAGACUCCUACGGGAGGCAGCAGUGGGGAAUAUUGAACAAUGGGCGCAAGCCUGAUGCAGCCAUGCCGCGUGUAUGAAGAAGGCCUUCGGGUUGUAAAGUACUUUCAGCGGGGAGGAAGGGAGUAAAGUUAAUACCUUUGCACAUUGACGUUACCCGCAGAAGAAGCACCGGCUAACUCCGUG
rnacentral:rRNA from 1 species